rnacentral:rRNA from 1 species
UACAGAGGGGGCAAGCGUUGUUCGGAAUUACUGGGCGUAAAGGGCGCGUAGGCGGCCGCCUAAGUCAGACGUGAAAUCCCUGGGCUCAACCCAGGAACUGCGUCCGAUACUGGGAGGCUUGAAUCCGGGAGAGGGAUGCGGAAUUCCAGGUGUAGCGGUGAAAUGCGUAGAUAUCUGGAGGAACACCGGUGGCGAAGGCGGCAUCCUGGACCGGCAUUGACGCUGAGGCGCGAAAGCCAGGGGAGCAAACGGG